AGAGAGAGACAUGCGCGCAUAUCAAUAAGCGGAGGAAAAGGUACCUACGCUUAGGAUGUUGAGCGAGACUGUCUAUCUCAUCUAUACAUGACUCUGUGCAUAUCAAUAGCGGAGGAAAAGAAACUAACAAGGAUUCCCCUAGUAACGGCGAGUGAAGCGGGAAGAGCUCAAAUUUGAAAUCUUAAAGGGUUUCCCUUUACGAAUUGUAGUUUAAAGAAGUGUUUUCUGUUGAGGUUUUGGUAAAAGUUCUUUGGAAUAGGACAUCAUAGAGGGUGAGAAUCCCGUAUUUGACCUUUACUUUCAACUUUGUGAUACACUUUCAAAGAGUCGGAUUGUUUGGGAAUGCAGUCCAAAAUGGGUGGUAAAUUUCAUCUAAAGCUAAAUAUUGGCGAGAGACCGAUAGCGAACAAGUACCGUGAGGGAAAGAUGAAAAGAACUUUGAAAAGAGAGUUAAACAGUACGUGAAAUUGUCAAAAGGGAAGCGUUUGACACCAGUGUUGUUUUUCUGAAAAUCAAUUAAAGAACUGUUUAUGCUAAGUUGUUUAGACUUUAUCAGCUAACUGUUUAGUUUUGAGCUUUUCUUUAAUGCACUUUUCAGUUAACAAGUCAACAUCAAUUUCUUUUGCUGUAAAAAAGCUUGAGGAAGGUGGCUUGAGAUUCGUCUUAAGUGUUUAUAGCCUCUUGCCUAUGCAGUCGGAGAGAUUGAGGUCUGCAGCGUAGAUCCUUCGGGGCUAAAUGCAUUUGUGCUAAGUUAUAGCAUUUUAUAGACAACUUGUUGACUAUGAUUUGUCUUGUAGCUUACUCGCUUAUGUUAUUUUACCUACGCUUAGGAUGUUGAGCGCAUGUCUCUCUCU
rnacentral:rRNA from 1 species